GGGUUGUGAGGUUAAGCGACUAAGCGUACACGGUGGAUGCCCUGGCAGUCAGAGGCGAUGAAGGACGUGCUAAUCUGCGAAAAGCGUCGGUAAGGUGAUAUGAACCGUUAUAACCGGCGAUGUCCGAAUGGGGAAACCCAGUGCAAUUCGUUGCACUAUCGUUAACUGAAUACAUAGGUUAACGAGGCGAACCGGGGGAACUGAAACAUCUAAGUACCCCGAGGAAAAGAAAUCAACCGAGAUUCCCCCAGUAGCGGCGAGCGAACGGGGAGCAGCCCAGAGUCUGAAUCAGCUUGUGUGUUAGUGGAACGGUCUGGAAAGUCCGACGGUACAGGGUGAUAGUCCCGUACACCAAAAUGCACAGGCUGUGAACUCGAAGAGUAGGGCGGGACACGUGGUAUCCUGUCUGAAUAUGGGGGGACCAUCCUCCAAGGCUAAAUACUCCUGACUGACCGAUAGUGAACCAGUACCGUGAGGGAAAGGCGAAAAGAACCCCGGCGAGGGGAGUGAAAAAGAACCUGAAACCGUGUACGUACAAGCAGUGGGAGCACCUUCGGGUGUGACUGCGUACCUUUUGUAUAAUGGGUCAGCGACUUAUAUUCUGUAGCAAGGUUAACCGUAUAGGGGAGCCGCAGGGAAACCGAGUCUUAACUGGGCGUUAAGUUGCAGGGUAUAGACCCGAAACCCGGUGAUCUAGCCAUGGGCAGGUUGAAGGUUGGGUAACACUAACUGGAGGACCGAACCGACUAAUGUUGAAAAAUUAGCGGAUGACUUGUGGCUGGGGGUGAAAGGCCAAUCAAACCGGGAGAUAGCUGGUUCUCCCCGAAAGCUAUUUAGGUAGCGCCUCGUGAACUCAUCUUCGGGGGUAGAGCACUGUUUCGGCUAGGGGGUCAUCCCGACUUACCAACCCGAUGCAAACUACGAAUACCGAAGAAUGUUAUCACGGGAGACACACGGCGGGUGCUAACGUCCGUCGUGAAGAGGGAAACAACCCAGACCGCCAGCUAAGGUCCCAAAGUCAUGGUUAAGUGGGAAACGAUGUGGGAAGGCACAGACAGCCAGGAUGUUGGCUUAGAAGCAGCCAUCAUUUAAAGAAAGCGUAAUAGCUCACUGGUCGAGUCGGCCUGCGCGGAAGAUGUAACGGGGCUAAACCAUGCACCGAAGCUGCGGCAGCGACACUAUGUGUUGUUGGGUAGGGGAGCGUUCUGUAAGCCUGCGAAGGUGUGCUGUGAGGCAUGCUGGAGGUAUCAGAAGUGCGAAUGCUGACAUAAGUAACGAUAAAGCGGGUGAAAAGCCCGCUCGCCGGAAGACCAAGGGUUCCUGUCCAACGUUAAUCGGGGCAGGGUGAGUCGACCCCUAAGGCGAGGCCGAAAGGCGUAGUCGAUGGGAAACAGGUUAAUAUUCCUGUACUUGGUGUUACUGCGAAGGGGGGACGGAGAAGGCUAUGUUAGCCGGGCGACGGUUGUCCCGGUUUAAGCAUGUAGGCUGGUUGUCCAGGCAAAUCCGGAUAAUCAAGGCUGAGGUGUGAUGACGAGGCACUACGGUGCUGAAGUAACAAAUGCCCUGCUUCCAGGAAAAGCCUCUAAGCAUCAGGUAACAUCAAAUCGUACCCCAAACCGACACAGGUGGUCAGGUAGAGAAUACCAAGGCGCUUGAGAGAACUCGGGUGAAGGAACUAGGCAAAAUGGUGCCGUAACUUCGGGAGAAGGCACGCUGGUGUGUAGGUGAAGCCCCUGCGGGUGGAGCUGAGACCAGUCGAAGAUACCAGCUGGCUGCAACUGUUUAUUAAAAACACAGCACUGUGCAAACACGAAAGUGGACGUAUACGGUGUGACGCCUGCCCGGUGCCGGAAGGUUAAUUGAUGGGGUUAUCCGUAAGGAGAAGCUCUUGAUCGAAGCCCCGGUAAACGGCGGCCGUAACUAUAACGGUCCUAAGGUAGCGAAAUUCCUUGUCGGGUAAGUUCCGACCUGCACGAAUGGCGUAAUGAUGGCCAGGCUGUCUCCACCCGAGACUCAGUGAAAUUGAACUCGCUGUGAAGAUGCAGUGUACCCGCGGCAAGACGGAAAGACCCCGUGAACCUUUACUAUAGCUUGACACUGAACAUUGAGCCUUGAUGUGUAGGAUAGGUGGGAGGCUUUGAAGCGUGGACGCCAGUCUGCGUGGAGCCAACCUUGAAAUACCACCCUUUAAUGUUUGAUGUUCUAACGUUGGCCCCUUACCGGGGUUGCGGACAGUGUCUGGUGGGUAGUUUGACUGGGGCGGUCUCCUCCCAAAGCGUAACGGAGGAGCACGAAGGUUAGCUAAUCCUGGUCGGACAUCAGGAGGUUAGUGCAAUGGCAUAAGCUAGCUUGACUGCGAGCGUGACGGCGCGAGCAGGUGCGAAAGCAGGUCAUAGUGAUCCGGUGGUUCUGAAUGGAAGGGCCAUCGCUCAACGGAUAAAAGGUACUCCGGGGAUAACAGGCUGAUACCGCCCAAGAGUUCAUAUCGACGGCGGUGUUUGGCACCUCGAUGUCGGCUCAUCACAUCCUGGGGCUGAAGUAGGUCCCAAGGGUAUGGCUGUUCGCCAUUUAAAGUGGUACGCGAGCUGGGUUUAGAACGUCGUGAGACAGUUCGGUCCCUAUCUGCCGUGGGCGCUGGAGAAUUGAGGGGGGCUGCUCCUAGUACGAGAGGACCGGAGUGGACGCAUCACUGGUGUUCGGGUUGUCAUGCCAAUGGCACUGCCCGGUAGCUAAAUGCGGAAGAGAUAAGUGCUGAAAGCAUCUAAGCACGAAACUUGCCCCGAGAUGAGUUCUCCCUGAGACUUUAAGUCUCCUGAAGGAACGUU
rnacentral:rRNA from 1 species